rnacentral:rRNA from 1 species
GUGUCAGCCGCCGCGGUAAUACGUAGGGUGCGAGCGUUAAUCGGAAUUAAUGGGCGUAAAGCGUGCGCAGGCGGUUUGACAAGUCAGAUGUGAAAGCCCCGGGCUCAACCUGGGAACUGCGUUUGAAACUGUCAGGCUAGAGUGUGUCAGAGGGAGGUAGAAUUCCACGUGUAGCAGUGAAAUGCGUAGAGAUGUGGAGGAAUACCGAUGGCGAAGGCAGCCUCCUGGGAUAACACUGACGCUCAUGCACGAAAGCGUGGGGAGCAAACAGGAUUAGAUACCCGCGUAGUCC